rnacentral:rRNA from 1 species
UACGUAGGGUGCGAGCGUUAAUCGGAAUUACUGGGCGUAAAGCGUGCGCAGGCGGUUCUAUAAGACAGAUGUGAAAUCCCCGGGCUCAACCCGGGAACUGCGUCCGAUACUGGGAGGCUUGAAUCCGGGAGAGGGAUGUGGAAUUCCAGGUGUAGCGGUGAAAUGCGUAGAUAUCUGAGGAACACCGGUGGCGAAGGCGGCAUCCUGGACCGGUAUGACGCUGAGGCGCG